rnacentral:rRNA from 1 species
GACGUAGGGCGCGAGCGUUGUCCGGAUUUAUUGGGCGUAAAGAGCUCGUAGGCGGCUUGUCGCGUCGUCCGUGAAAACCUGGGGCUCAACCCCAGGCUUGCGGUCGAUACGGGCAGGCUCGAGUUCGGUAGGGGAGACUGGAAUUCCUGGUGUAGCGGUGAAAUGCGCAGAUAUCAGGAAGAACACCAAUGGCGAAGGCAGCUCUCUGGGACGGUACUGACGCUGAGACGCGAAAGCGUGGGGAGCAAACGGG